rnacentral:rRNA from 1 species
GGAAACGACUGCGCAGCUACACAUGCAAGUCGAGCGGUAGCACAGAGAGCUUGCUCUCGGGUGACGAGCGGCGGACGGGUGAGUAAUGUCUGGGAAACUGCCUGAUGGAGGGGGAUAACUACUGGAAACGGUAGCUAAUACCGCAUAAUGUCGCAAGACCAAAGUGGGGGACCUUCGGGCCUCAUGCCAUCAGAUGUGCCCAGAUGGGAUUAGCUAGUAGGUGGGGUAACGGCUCACCUAGGCGACGAUCCCUAGCUGGUCUGAGAGGAUGACCAGCCACACUGGAACUGAGACACGGUCCAGACUCCUACGGGAGGCAGCAGUGGGGAAUAUUGCACAAUGGGCGCAAGCCUGAUGCAGCCAUGCCGCGUGUGUGAAGAAGGCCUUCGGGUUGUAAAGCACUUUCAGCGGGGAGGAAGGCGUUAAGGUUAAUAACCUUGUCGAUUGACGUUACCCGCAGAAGAAGCACCGGCUAACUCCGUGCCAGCAGCCGCGGUAAUACGGAGGGUGCAAGCGUUAAUCGGAAUUACUGGGCGUAAAGCGCACGCAGGCGGUCUGUCAAGUCGGAUGUGAAAUCCCCGGGCUCAACCUGGGAACUGCAUUCGAAACUGGCAGGCUAGAGUCUUGUAGAGGGGGGUAGAAUUCCAGGUGUAGCGGUGAAAUGCGUAGAGAUCUGGAGGAAUACCGGUGGCGAAGGCGGCCCCCUGGACAAAGACUGACGCUCAGGUGCGAAAGCGUGGGGAGCAAACAGGAUUAGAUACCCUGGUAGUCCACGCCGUAAACGAUGUCGAUUUGGAGGUUGUGCCCUUGAGGCGUGGCUUCCGGAGCUAACGCGUUAAAUCGACCGCCUGGGGAGUACGGCCGCAAGGUUAAAACUCAAAUGAAUUGACGGGGGCCCGCACAAGCGGUGGAGCAUGUGGUUUAAUUCGAUGCAACGCGAAGAACCUUACCUGGUCUUGACAUCCACAGAACUUUCCAGAGAUGGAUUGGUGCCUUCGGGAACUGUGAGACAGGUGCUGCAUGGCUGUCGUCAGCUCGUGUUGUGAAAUGUUGGGUUAAGUCCCGCAACGAGCGCAACCCUUAUCCUUUGUUGCCAGCGGUUCGGCCGGGAACUCAAAGGAGACUGCCAGUGAUAAACUGGAGGAAGGUGGGGAUGACGUCAAGUCAUCAUGGCCCUUACGACCAGGGCUACACACGUGCUACAAUGGCAUAUACAAAGAGAAGCGACCUCGCGAGAGCAAGCGGACCUCAUAAAGUAUGUCGUAGUCCGGAUUGGAGUCUGCAACUCGACUCCAUGAAGUCGGAAUCGCUAGUAAUCGUAGAUCAGAAUGCUACGGUGAAUACGUUCCCGGGCCUUGUACACACCGCCCGUCACACCAUGGGAGUGGGUUGCAAAAGAAGUAGGUAGCUUAACCUUCGGGAGGGCGCUACCACUUGAUCGUGAAA